rnacentral:rRNA from 1 species
GACGAACGCUGGCGGCGUGCUUAACACAUGCAAGUCGAACGGAAAGGCCCUGCUUUUGUUGGGUGCUCGAGUGGCGAACGGGUGAGUAACACGUGAGUAACCUGCCCUUGACUUUGGGAUAACUUCAGGAAACUGGGGCUAAUACCGGAUAGGAGCUCCUGCUGCAUGGUGGGGGUUGGAAAGUUUCGGCGGUUGGGGAUGGACUCGCGGCUUAUCAGCUUGUUGGUGGGGUAGUGGCUUACCAAGGCUUUGACGGGUAGCCGGCCUGAGAGGGUGACCGGCCACAUUGGGACUGAGAGACGGCGCAGAAGCCAACGGGAGGCAGAAGUGGGGAAUAUUACACAAUGGGCGGAAGCCUGAUGCAGCAACGCCGCGUGCGGGAUGAAGGCCUUCGGGUUGUAAACCGCUUUCGCCUGUGACGAAGCGUGAGUGACGGUAAUGGGUAAAAAAGCACCGGCUAACUACGUG